rnacentral:pre_miRNA from 1 species
GGCAUUACAUGAGAUAAGCUGUUUCUCUAUUAUAAUUAACACUUAUCUUAUGUAAUGAGG